rnacentral:rRNA from 1 species
UACGGGGGGGGCAAGCGUUGUUCGGAUUUACUGGGCGUAAAGGGCGCGUAGGCGGCCAGCACAAGUCAGUUGUGAAAUCUCCGAGCUUAACUCGGAACGGUCAACUGAUACUGUGCGGCUAGAGUGCAGAAGGGGCAACUGGAAUUCUUGGUGUAGCGGUGAAAUGCGUAGAUAUCAAGAGGAACACCUGCGGCGAAGGCGGGUUGCUGGGCUGACACUGACGCUGAGGCGCGAAAGCUAGGGGAGCGAACGGG